rnacentral:rRNA from 1 species
AAGACUGGGAUAACUCCGGGAAACCGGGGCUAAUACCGGAUGCUUGAUUGAACCGCAUGGUUCAAUCAUAAAAGGUGGCUUUCAGCUACCACUUACAGAUGGACCCGCGGCGCAUUAGCUAGUUGGUGAGGUAACGGCUCACCAAGGCGACGAUGCGUAGCCGACCUGAGAGGGUGAUCGGCCACACUGGGACUGAGACACGGCCCAGACUCCUACGGGAGGCAGCAGUAGGGAAUCUUCCGCAAUGGACGAAAGUCUGACGGAGCAACGCCGCGUGAGUGAUGAAGGUUUUCGGAUCGUAAAACUCUGUUGUUAGGGAAGAACAAGUACCGUUCGAAUAGGGCGGCACCUUGACGGUACCUAACCAAAAAGCCACGGCUAACUACGUGCCAGCAGCCGCGGUAAUACGUAGGUGGCAAGCC